rnacentral:lncRNA from 1 species
GGUCACUGUUCUGCUUCAGGCCCAUUGCAGCAGCCACCGGCUGCCACACCAAUGCUAAGAUGACCUUUGGAAGACUGCUAUCUAUGGAGGCAGUUUCCUGUCGUUCUUUGAGAUGUGAGAAAUGGAAUACUUCCUGCCUUAUCAGUUAACAAGGAUGUCAUAGUCACCAGCAAUUGCAGCCACCAUGGAUGGUGAGCUUGUGAGCCCAGAGGGAACUCAGAAAGGGAAGAAAACCUGCCAUCUAGCGGCCAUCAGACUGCAGCCACUCCCAAAGGUGAGCCCCAAGGAAAGUAAGUUCAAGAUAUGAAAAGUAUACUGCCUCGACAGCUGAGGUACAUAUCAAAGGAAUGAUUUCAGUGAGCCCAGACUCUUGCAUCUUUCCAUUCAUAAAAUAGUGCUAAAUUCCUUAACGUGGGAUAUCUGGUUUUCUUUAAUGAACAAUAAUUUUUGAUGUUCAGACCACCUGCCCUUUGUUGCAAAACCUCUGAAUAACCUGAAUCCUCCCUCUCCUCCUAGAAGCAGUUCUCUCAGGGUUACCUGAGAUACUGUCUCCCAGGCCUGAAGUCCUAAAAACUCCCACCAAAUCAGACGUGGCUCUCAACUUUUAGGUUGUGAAUAUUUAAGCCCACAGAUGCGACAUGGUUAAAGAUAGUUAACGAAACUAACAAAACUUGUUCUCUUGCAGAUCCUGCUCUAUUUCCUUUUCUUCUGGCCUGUCUGGACAACACUUCGGCCCAGCCUCUGGCCAUGGGGUGGGGCCCAGCAACGCCACAUCAGUCUUCUCAGCACAAUCUUAUAGGACGAGAAGAGGAAAAUGGUCCUGACUCUCAGGAGGAUGCAGGCAGCACCCACAGGUGGACACUCUGGGGUCUGUGUGCCACGGAAGGGAAGCAGAAAGGUCAAAGGCUUGUGUCCAAGCAAGUCAUCAGUGGCCAUCUCCCGCGCUCAGCCAGCCUGCCCUCAGCUGACCCGCGGCCUACACUUCCUUCCAGGCCAAGGGCCAAGGCUGAUCUACAAACCAUGGCUGAGGCCCUGACGUCUAGGCCCGGGACAGAGGCUCGCUCCUCCAGGCAGCCAACGCCAGCCUGCUCACAGCAGUGUGCUUCUGUCCUCUGA